rnacentral:rRNA from 1 species
GAUGAACGCUAGCUACAGGCUUAACACAUGCAAGUCGAGGGGUAACGAGAGGAAAGCUUGCUUUCCUUGUCGACGACCGGCGCACGGGUGAGUAACGCGUAUCCAACCUGCCCCCAACUAGGGAAUAACCUUGCGAAAGUAAGACUAAUACCCUAUAAUUUCCUCAGAUGUCAUCUGACGAGGAAUAAAGAUUUAUCGGUUGUGGAUGGGGACGCGUCUGAUUAGCUUGUUGGCGGGGUAACGGCCCACCAAGGCAACGACCAGUAGGGGUUCUGAGAGGAAGGUCCCCCACAUGGGAACUGAGACACGGUCCAAACUCCUACGGGAGGCAGCAGUGAGGAAUAUUGGUCAAUGGGCGGAAGCCUGAACCAGCCAAGUAGCGUGCAGGAUGACGGCCCUAUGGGUUGUAAACUGCUUUUAUACAGGAAUAAAGUUAGCCACGUGUGGUUAUUUGUAGGUACUGUAUGAAUAAGGACCGGCUAAUUCCGUGCCAGCCGCCGCCGUAA